rnacentral:rRNA from 1 species
UACGGGGGAUGCAAGCGUUAUCCGGAUUUAUUGGGUUUAAAGGGUGCGUAGGCUGUGAGGUAAGUCAGCGGUGAAAUGCCCCCGCUCAACGGGGUGAAGUGCCAUUGAUACUGCCUUGCUGGAAUGCGGAUGCCGUGGGAGGAAUGUGUGGUGUAGCGGUGAAAUGCAUAGAUAUCACACAGAACACCGAUUGCGAAGGCAUCUCACGAAUCCGCGAUUGAUGCUGAUGCACGAAAGCGUGGGUAUCAAACAGG